CUUCUGCAGUGAUGAUUUACGAAUGAGAAGUAAUGCACAUGUCAGACUUCAGAGAUUUUCAUCGAUGAGAAGAUACAUUCGACGCUCUGAGCAGAAG